AGUGAACGCUGGCGGUAGGCCUAACACAUGCAAGUCGAACGGCAGCACAGUAAGAGCUUGCUCUUACGGGUGGCGAGUGGCGGACGGGUGAGGAAUACAUCGGAAUCUACUUUUUCGUGGGGGAUAACGUAGGGAAACUUACGCUAAUACCGCAUACGACCUACGGGUGAAAGCAGGGGAUCUUCGGACCUUGCGCGAUUGAAUGAGCCGAUGUCGGAUUAGCUAGUUGGCGGGGUAAAGGCCCACCAAGGCGACGAUCCGUAGCUGGUCUGAGAGGAUGAUCAGCCACACUGGAACUGAGACACGGUCCAGACUCCUACGGGAGGCAGCAGUGGGGAAUAUUGGACAAUGGGCGCAAGCCUGAUCCAGCCAUACCGCGUGGGUGAAGAAGGCCUUCGGGUUGUAAAGCCCUUUUGUUGGGAAAGAAAAGCAGCAGGUUAAUACCCCGCUGUUCUGACGGUACCCAAAGAAUAGGCACCGGCUAACUUCGUGC
rnacentral:rRNA from 1 species